rnacentral:rRNA from 1 species
GAUGAACGCUGGCGGCGUGCCUAAUACAUGCAAGUCGAGCGAACGGACGAGAAGCUUGCUUCUCUGAUGUUAGCGGCGGACGGGUGAGUAACACGUGGAUAACCUACCUAUAAGACUGGGAUAACUUCGGGAAACCGUAGCUAAUACCGGAUAAUAUUUUGAACCGCAUGGUUCAAAAGUGAAAGACGGUCUUGCUGUCACUUAUAGAUGGAUCCGCGCUGCAUUAGCUAGUUGGUAAGGUAACGGCUUACCAAGGCAACGAUGCAUAGCCGACCUGAGAGGGUGAUCGGCCACACUGGAACUGAGACACGGUCCAGACUCCUACGGGAGGCAGCAGUAGGGUAUCUUCCGCAAAGGGCGAAAGCCUGACGGAGCAACGCCGCGUGAGUGAUGAAGGUCUUCGGAUCGUAAAACUCUGUUAUUAGGGAAGAACAUAUGUGUAAGUAACUGUGCACAUCUUGACGGUACCUAAUCAGAAAGCCACGGCUAACUACGUG